rnacentral:lncRNA from 1 species
AUUAAAUUAGGUUCUUAAUUGGGUUAAGACCUAUUUUAAUUAGGUUGAUCUAAUUUUGGUUUGAUUUGGUUUGAGAAACCAAAUUAAAAUAAGUCAUAAGAUAGAAUCCUAGUAAGACUAGGAUUCCACCUUGCACCACAAAAGCCUUCCCGAUGCCCUCUCUCUCAUUCAACGCCAAUCUCCUCUUAUUUUGUGUGACAAAUGCCCUCUCCCAGGUCUCUCCCACGUUCAAAAAAGGUCUCCUCUCUUCUUUCUAACAUGGAAGGUGGUUUGGAUCAAAUCAAAGAGGAAUAAGUAUGGAUUUCAAAUUCUAUGAGAUAGAGUUUUAGAAAUUCAAAACUCUUUCAAUUUUGCACCGAAUUUAUCCAUUUUUUUUUUUGGAAUUUUCGUGGCUUUUAGGGU